CGUACACUCCUGCGGGAGGCAGCAGUGGGGAAUAUUGGACAAUGGGCGCAAGCCUGAUCCAGCCAUGCCGCGUGAGUGAUGAAGGCCCUAGGGUUGUAAAGCUCUUUCACCGGAGAAGAUAAUGACGGUAUCCGGAGAAGAAGCCCCGGCUAACUUCGUGCCAGCAGCCGCGGUAAUACGAAGGGGGCUAGCGUUGUUCGGAAUUACUGGGCGUAAAGCGCACGUAGGCGGAUCGAUCAGUCAGGGGUGAAAUCCCAGGGCUCAACCCUGGAACUGCCUUUGAUACUGUCGAUCUGGAGUAUGGAAGAGGUGAGUGGAAUUCCGAGUGUAGAGGUGAAAUUCGUAGAUAUUCGGAGGAACACCAGUGGCGAAGGCGGCUCACUGGUCCAUUACUGACGCUGAGGUGCGAAAGCGUGGGGAGCAAACAGGAUUAGAUACCUAGUAGUCCC
rnacentral:rRNA from 1 species